ACAAGAAGUAGUUUAUUAAAAUACCAGUUUUGGAUAUUGGAGAUGGCCAUACCCUUCUUGAA
rnacentral:tRNA from 1 species